rnacentral:rRNA from 1 species
ACGAACGCUGGCGGCGUGCCUCAUCCAUGCAAGUAGAACGCACAGUUUAUACCGUAGCUUGCUACACCAUAGACUGUGAGUUGCGAACGGGUGAGUAACGCGUAGGUAACCUGCCUGGUAGCGGGGGAUAACUAUUGGAAACGAUAGCUAAUACCGCAUAAUAUUGAUUAUUGCAUGAUAAUUGAUUGAAAGAUGCUAUUGCAUCACUACCAGAUGGACCUGCGUUGUAUUAGCUAGUAGGUGAGGUAACGGCUCACCUAGGCGACGAUACAUAGCCGACCUGAGAGGGUGAUCGGCCACACUGGGACUGAGACACGGCCCAGACUCCUACGGGAGGCAGCAGUAGGGAAUCUUCGGCAAUGGACGAAAGUCUGACCGAGCAACGCCGCGUGAGUGAAGAAGGUUUUCGGAUCGUAAAGCUCUGUUGUAAGAGAAGAACGGGUGUGAGAGUGGAAAGUUCACACUGUGACGGUAUCUUACCAGAAAGGGACGGCUAACUACGUG